UUAGAAUCCUUGCAAUUAUUGAUGGGCGGGACUCCAAAAUCACAAUUGCAACGAUCUGACGAUUCCUUGUUUUUAUUUGUGGACUCCUCUCGGAGCCCUUAUCACUAGACUGAGUCUAGUUAGAAAAAGAAGAAACAAAAGUUCUCAGACUUCUCUUUGGUCCUUCCAGAUCGAUGAAGAACACACCCAAAAUACCAAAACCCCAAAUCCAACUGUGAAUGGCGAAUCUGGAACUCAUGAACACUCGCACUCAAAGUCAACAACGCAAGGUUCUCCAUCUCUCAUGUCGUCAUCGCCACCUAUCUCUGCUUUCUUGCUCAAUUAGUUUGGGUCUUCUUUAUCGCUCGCAAGGUUGAAUUGUUCUGGUGAUGCCGAUUGAAAUUACUCGUGAAUGUGUAUUUGAGGUAUUGUAACAUUUCUAGAUCCCCCCAUUUAAGAUGUUCAGAAUGUGGAUAUCGAUGGUUGGAUUUCUUUGGAUGAAUACUUUCACAUUGCUCUUGGAGUCUUGGUACAGUUUGAAACAGUUUUCACUAUAUUUUUUCCCUCAUAAUGUUAUAUUAGCUAUUUUGUUGACUGCAUUCCUAUCACACUUCAUUAUCUCCCUAAUUUUGGAUUUACUCUCGGAACUUUAUUACACUAAGUUUGAAGAUUAACUUAUUUGAAAAGUGGGACUCUGAUUGUUGAUGCUGGUGUGUGAUUAUUUCAGAUAUGAAAGUUAUAGGUGAUUUGAGUUGCUAGCUUAAAUUUGUUGUGCAGAUAGCCAGAUAGUAGUAAUAAGAACAAAAAAUAGAAGAAAGAACACAGAAACAGAAACAAAAUUGAUCACCUCUAUAGUUCUAGGGGACCUUCAAAGUGAAAGCCAGUCACUUUAGUGCAUGAGAAAGUACCUUAAAAGAAUAAACUAAUAACAUUCUCGAAAAGUAUCAAGUAUGUAGUGAGUUGAAGCUCCAUUGUUACUGAAACUUGAUACUUCCAGGCCCAUUAUCUUUUUCAUUCAUAUCAUAAUCCCAUAAACACGUCUUGCACUCAAUAUAUGGUGUAGCAUGUUAACAGAUAUUUUACUAAUAGUACUGAUGCAUUUUUAGAAUGAAAAUGUUGUCUAAUUGUAUUCACUAUCUCUGCAGCAAACGCUCUAGCUACCUAAGUAAUGUUAUAGAUAGAUUCCUUCAACUUCUUUGAAGAAAUUUACUCAGCUUUCACUUGAUUGUUGUCUCUUUGAUAUAGAAAUGUUCUGAGAGAUCACUUGAUAAUCAUGCCUACUACUCUACUAGUGCAUUCUUUGCAGUUGGAUCAUUAUUUUUCCGUGUGGUUCCUGUAAAAUCAAUCCUCUCAAGUUGGAGUUUGCUAUAUAUUCUAGUAUGCAGUGUAGGAUACUUUCAAGCUAACUUCUUGAAACUAGUUCAAAAUGGUUGAUAGCAACGCAUCAUCUGCAAAGGUACAUAGCUGACUCAACUGUUCUGCCAUCUUAGAAGAUCGUAUUGAAUCCAAAAGUAGUACCAUAAAGCAUUUUAUGCACCUGUUCUGUUUGAGGGUUAAAGAAUAAAAGAGUGACUCUCCAACACAAAUAUGGUUAGUUCUGUAAUUGGUUUAAUUAUAAUUGGAUAUUGGAUAAAAUUUCAGUGAUGUCCUAGUCUUAUUUACAUACACAUUGAGUAAUGCUUAUUUACUGUCCACUAUGUGCAAUUUCUUUUGCAAGUGAACUGGGAGUUUUGUUCCUAUCUUUUACUUUAUGGCAUAUGGGGGGGUUUGAGAUCAUAUAGGCUGAAUUUAAUGGCAUGUAAAUAUAUCAGAUCACAGCUAGUUGUCGAGUGAUGCUAUACGUAUAUUAUUAUGUAAAUCUAUGCAAUUGGAGGCUAUGCAAUUGGAGUAGGGAUAAAACGGUAGAAGGAUACUUCUUUUAACUUUAAUGGUCCAGUCACUGGUCUUAUUAUUAUUACAAUAGUAAAGCUUUGGAUGUCAAUGAGCAAUUUUCCUGUUAAGUGAUAUAGGGAAGCCUGUUACUCGUUUUCUUCAUCUCUAUCUCUCAUAUCAUAUUAGGUCGUCAUUGGAAAUCUGUUAGCUUAAACUGCUCUAUUGUUUGAUUUCAGAUUAAUUGUUUCCCUUAUAUCUAGGCCAUGACUCUUGGAUUUUGUUCCAAAUUUGCUUCAGAGCCAUGCGUUUAGAAGUUUGUACUGUUUUAUGUUUGAUCAUAUGGAAGUGGGGAAAUCCCCAAAUUGGCGGGCUGCAUAUUUGGUUAAAAUAGGGUCUGCCUUUUUUGUUUUCAUGGGAUUGAUAGUCUAGACACGCCAUUAAGAAGGUAAUAGGAAAAAGAAAAAGCCUGUUGUCAAACUUGGAUCCAAUAAGCAUAGCUCAAUUUUCGGUUUCUUUGAAAGUAAAGAGUACCUUUUUUGUAUUAUUUUGAUUCAUAUUACGGCACAACCUGUGGAAACUACUACAUAAAGAUUUGCAACCAGUUCCUUAUCCUUUAUCAAUCUGCUCCAAGUUUUGAUUUAGUCAUUAGUUGCAUGCAACAUGGUCUUGUCUGUGCAUAAGUUUGAGAGAAUCUUUCAAUUGGACAUAAUAGAUUGAUAAAAUGAUACCCCUCUCUCUGUCCCUCCCUCCCUCCCUCACUGUUGAU